GAUGAAGAACGUAGCGAAAUGCGAUAAGUAAUGUGAAUUGCAGAAUUCAGUGAAUCAUCGAAUCUUUGAACGCACAUUGCGCCCGUCAGUAUUCUGGCGGGCAUGCCUGUUCGAGCGUCAUUACGCCCCUCAAGUCCCCUGUGGACUUGGUGUUGGGGAUCGGCGAGGCUGGUUUUCCAGCACAGCCGUCCCUUAAAUUAAUUGGCGGUCUCGCCGUGGCCCUCGUCUGCGCAGUAGUAAAACACUCGCAACAGGAGCCCGGCGCGGUCCACUGCCGUAAAACCCCCCAACUUUUUAUAGUUGACCUCGAAUCAGGUAGGACUACCCGCUGAACUUAAGCAUAUCAAUAAGCGGAGGA
rnacentral:misc_RNA from 1 species